CAAGCGCAAGUGAGAGACUGCGGUGAACGAGUGGCAUUUUGAGCAGGGAAAGCGCGAUUGGUCGCCUAAUCGGGAAUUUCCGCAACUCAUCCGACGAGAUCGCGUUUAAACAGAAUCUAGUAACGGUCGGCAGCGGACGCAAAAAGUACGGGGUUGUAACUUUUGGGGGAGCGACAGCCCGGAAAAGUUACCGGGGGUGCGAGUGAGUGUAAGAGAGAACCAGACAGCCAAGUUUUCGAUUUCUUUUCUGUUUUUUUUGUCUACAACUUUUUCCUCUUCGACGUGGCGUUACUAGUUUCUUUUGGGAAGAAGAACGAAAAACCUUUGUGGAGACCGUAAGAAUUCCUCAGGCCUCCACACCUCCCGACUCGUCCCACUGAGCCGACAAAGGGGGCGUCACGAAAACGAGAGGAACCGCCGUGCCAGAUUUUUCCCCCCACGAAUCCUCCCGCAGGACUUGCCUACAAAGGAGGGAGGAAGCAACUUGUAUGGUGGUAAUUCGUAUCAAAAGGGGCGCUGUGUGCGACCCACUGUGUACAUGUUAAGCUAAGGUGUAAUUUGGUAAUUAAUCUGUGAUUUGAAGGGCGCUGUGUCGCGUCCAGUGUAUUCCUUGUUUCAUUAGAAAUAAGUAAGUUAA